GACGAACGCUGGCGGCGUGCUUAAUACAUGCAAGUCGAGCGCUGAGGGAUGGUACUUGUACCCAGUGGAUGAGCAGCAAACGGGUGAGUAAAGCGUGGAGAAUCUGCUUUUGAACGGGGGACAUCCUUUGGAAACGAAUGCUAAAACCGCAUAAAAACUUUCAAAACACGUUUUCAGUUCGAAAGAUGCAAUUGCAUAAUUCAAUGAUGUUCCAGCGUUGUAUUAGCUAGUUGGUGAGGUACAGGCUCACCAAGGCGAGGAGACAUAGCCGACAGGAGAGGGGGAGCGGCCACAUUGAGACUGAGACACGGCCCAAACUCCUACGGGAGGCAGCAGUAGGGAAUCUUCAGCAAUGGACGAAAGUCUGACCGAGCAACGCCGCGGGAGUGAAGAAGGAUUUCGGAUCGUAAAACUCUGGUGGUAGAGAAGAACGUUGGUGAGAGUGGAAAGCUCAGCAAGUGACGGUAACUACCCAGGAAGGGACGGCUAACUACGUG
rnacentral:rRNA from 1 species